UCAAUGAAGAGUUUGAUCCUGGCUCAGAACGAACGCUGGUGGCGUGUCUUAUACAUGCAAGUCGAGCGAGGCAGCAAUGCCGAGCGGCGAACGGGUGAGUAACGCGUAAGCAAUCUGCCCCGUAUCAGGAAAUACCCGUGCCAACGCGCGGUUAAUGUCCAGGAGAGUGGCCUUCCGCAUGGAAGGUUGACUAGAGAUUUAUCGGUA
rnacentral:rRNA from 1 species